ensembl:lncRNA
AGUUGGCGUUCUGUCCAGAUCUUGACUGCUGCUGUGAACAUUGGCUGCUAACAGAUAAACAGGUAAUCUCAAGAGAGAGACUAUAGAGCAAGGAGCAAAAUGUUGCCUCCUGAGUUCCCUUUGAAUCUAGACUGUGUUGUGUAAUCCAGACCUCUAUGCUCUGCUAUCUGCAGUCUGGGUGAGUGUUUCUUUGAUGACCUUCAACUUCCCUGUCCUUUAUAUAUCUGAUGAUUGUUCACCUCUUAACAACUAGCUCAUACUACCCCUGUCUGAUAACUCUAUACUUUUGCUUUCAACCUUUUCACAC